GAUGAACGCUGGCGGCGUGCCUAAUACAUGCAAGUCGAACGAAAAGACCAGGAGCUUGCUCCUCUGACGUUAGCGGCGGACGGGUGAGUAACACGUGGAUAACCUACCUAUAAGACUGGGAUCACUACGGGCAACCGGAGCUAAUACCGGAUAAUCUAUUGCACCGCAUGGUGCAAUGGUAAAAUACGGUUUUGCUGUCACUUCUCGAUGGAUCCGCGCCGCAUUAGCUGGUUGGUAAGGUCACGGCUUACCAAGGCAACCAUGCGUAGCCGACGUGAGAGAGGGAUCGGCGACACGAGAAGGGAGACACGGACCAGACACCUAAGGGAGGCAGCAGUAGGGAAUCGGCCGCAAUGGGCGAAAGCCUUACGGAGCAACGGCGCGUGAGUGAUGAAGGUCUUCGGAUCGUAAAACUCUGUUAUUAGGGAAGAACAAAUGUCGAAGUAACUAAGCACGUCGUGACGGUACCGAAUCAGAAAGCCACGGCUAACUACGUG
rnacentral:rRNA from 1 species